AGGAAAGAUCUGGAAAGGCAAAUGGC
rnacentral:piRNA from 1 species